UAGGAGUUAGGCAAAUAUAGGAGUACGUAUGUACUAAGACUUAAACAAUUUACGUUACGUUAAUAUUUCUAUGAGAAUUGAGAAUGUACAAUCAAGUACCUAGGUAUUUUUUAUCAUUUUAUUGCACUGUCAGAAUCUAGUAUUUACUGGAGUAGUGAGAGGUGUACAAUUGCGUUAAAUUUUGCUUCAGUAUCAUAUUAAUAAUUCAUGCCUAAUGCCGUAUCUAUAGUUUUAUUACUCUAUUAGAAGUUAUAUGAUCUAAGAUGUCUCUGAUGGUGGACUCAGAAAAACAUUGAUAAAACCUUUCCAUUCGGUAUCCUGUAUCUAGGACAAAUGGACGGGAGGGGCAUUUGAACCAUCAAACAAAAAAUUACAAUAAAAAUAUUAAAUAAUGCAAUAAAUAAUUUAAAAAAU